CAGGCUUAACACAUGCAAGUCGAGGGGCAGCAUGGUCUUAGCUUGCUAAGGCCGAUGGCGACCGGCGCACGGGUGAGUAACACGUAUCCAACCUGCCGUCUACUCUUGGACAGCCUUCUGAAAGGAAGAUUAAUACAAGAUGGCAUCAUGAGUCCGCAUGUUCACAUGAUUAAAGGUAUUCCGGUAGACGAUGGGGAUGCGUUCCAUUAGAUAGUAGGCGGGGUAACGGCCCACCUAGUCUUCGAUGGAUAGGGGUUCUGAGAGGAAGGUCCCCCACAUUGGAACUGAGACACGGUCCAAACUCCUACGGGAGGCAGCAGUGAGGAAUAUUGGUCAAUGGGCGAGAGCCUGAACCAGCCAAGUAGCGUGAAGGAUGACUGCCCUAUGGGUUGUAAACUUCUUUUAUAAAGGAAUAAAGUCGGGUAUGGAUACCCGUUUGCAUGUACUUUAUGAAUAAGGAUCGGCUAACUCCGUGCCAGCAGCCGCGGUAAUACGGAGGAUCCGAGCGUUAUCCGGAUUUAUUGGGUUUAAAGGGAGCGUAGAUGGAUGUUUAAGUCAGUUGUGAAAGUUUGCGGCUCAACCGUAAAAUUGCAGUUGAUACUGGAUAUCUUGAGUGCAGUUGAGGCAGGCGGAAUUCGUGGUGUAGCGGUGAAAUGCUUAGAUAUCACGAAGAACUCCGAUUGCGAAGGCAGCCUGCUAAGCUGCAACUGACAUUGAGGCUCGAAAGUGUGGGUAUCAAACAGGAUUAGAUACCCUGGUAGUCCACACGGUAAACGAUGAAUACUCGCUGUUUGCGAUAUACAGCAAGCGGCCAAGCGAAAGCGUUAAGUAUUCCACCUGGGGAGUACGCCGGCAACGGUGAAACUCAAAGGAAUUGACGGGGGCCCGCACAAGCGGAGGAACAUGUGGUUUAAUUCGAUGAUACGCGAGGAACCUUACCCGGGCUUAAAUUGCAGAUGAAUUACGGUGAAAGCCGUAAGCCGCAAGGCAUCUGUGAAGGUGCUGCAUGGUUGUCGUCAGCUCGUGCCGUGAGGUGUCGGCUUAAGUGCCAUAACGAGCGCAACCCUUGUUGUCAGUUACUAACAGGUUCCGCUGAGGACUCUGACAAGACUGCCAUCGUAAGAUGUGAGGAAGGUGGGGAUGACGUCAAAUCAGCACGGCCCUUACGUCCCGGGCUACACACGUGUUACAAUGGGGGGUACAGAGGGCCGCUACCACGCGAGUGGAUGCCAAUCCCCAAAACCUCUCUCAGUUCGGACUGGAGUCUGCAACCCGACUCCACGAAGCUGGAUUCGCUAGUAAUCGCGCAUCAGCCACGGCGCGGUGAAUACGUUCCCGGGCCUUGUACACACCGCCCGUCAAGCCAUGGGAGCCGGGGGUACCUGAAGUGCGUAACCGCGAGGAGCGCCCUAGGGUAAAACUGGUGACUGGGGCUAAGUCAUAACA
rnacentral:rRNA from 1 species